ensembl:lncRNA
GGAGGGGAGCAGGGGGCUUGUUCUCUCCUGGAAGUGCGGGCUCCUGCCUAUGCGGCAGCAGAUGCUUCCUAUGGCUUUUCUUUGCUUUGUGGGUACGGAGCUGGUGCACCGGGGCUGGGGUGUCCUUUGGGAAGCCAGCACCAGCAAACAGGAAGCCUCCCUGUCCAUAGAGUGUCUGGGGCCAGAGCAAACCAUGGGAAGAACUUCUUAGCUGAAAUGUUUUCUCAGCAGGUGAGAGGUGUAAGGCUUUGAUGUGAAGCUUGCUGUGCCAGUGUGUCCCGCUGCCCAGUGCAGAUGUGGCAACCUAAGGCUCUGCCUAUCUCUGUGGGUCCGAGUUCUUCCGUUGCAAAUGUGUGACACCCGAACACAAGCCACAAAUCAACGAGGGUCGUAGAACCCUCAGCACUGCAAGAGGCCCCACACACAUUGCAAUGGACAGGAGCUGAAGUAUUUUGUGACCACGAGACUUGGAAGAUCCUCAUGGUUUUGGUCACAGGUGUCUGCUGAAUAACCUCAGGCUCCAAAUCCCCACUAAUUCAGGGCAGCGUUCUUGAAUUUGCCUACUUAAUGACAGAUGCAUAAACUUACUUUGAGUUAAAUUGUCAAGGAAGCCCAUGAACACUUGAAGGAGGAACUGGACAAGAGAAGAAUGUAAGCUAAUCUUAAUUUAAAUUUAAUUUAAACAAAGAAGUCUUUAAUUCUCCUCCCACUCUGUUUAUGUACUUUGGAGACUGUGUGUUAUGUACCUAUUUUAAAAAUAAAAUAAUCAUGAAACAUAAUUUCCUUUAACAUUUUGAGGGGGAAAAAUCCAAUGGGUGAAACCCUGAUGUUCAAGCUGAAUUAUUGUUUCUGUUAUUUUUGAUGAAGACCUGUAGUUACCAACGAAGAAGAGCUCUUCAGUGUAUCCGUCACCAUACAAAUGUGGGUGGAGAUGUUCCCUUCCCCUAUGAGCUCAUCGACCAUACAGACAAGACAAAUUCAGGCUGCAGGAUGGAUUGGUCAUACACUGUCCAGAAGUGGGAGAUCCAGCCAUCUUUAUGAAAGGACUGUGUUUUUAAACAUGAAAAACACCCUAAGAAUGGUCCAAAGAGUAGAAAAGAAAGGUUGGAAACCAAUAGGGAUAAACAAACAAACAACAAAAUAAACCACCCUGCAGAUUUUCAACUUUCAGUGUCAUUUCAAAUUUCAGGAAAUAAAUGUGGAAAACAGACUGAUGACAGCUUUGUGACAUCCACCCCUCUGCCUCCGAGUGCCUUUUAUCCAACAGGAAAACAAAGCAUGCAGUUAAGGAAGACUGGAAAAAUUAAGUCUGUAUACUCCAUGGACCGCAGUCCCCUGGGGUGUUGUUCCUGCUCCACUUUGGGUCCCCCACAUCCAGAAUGCCUGCAGAGUAUUCCCAGCAUGGAGCACCUCCCUCCAAGUCCUGUCCCCAGGGCACCCUGCGCCCCAUCCUGUAGCCCUCAAAACCCUGCAAAUGAUAUUUAAGUCAAUGCCCUUUUGUAUGAAUCGGAGGAGAGACUGCUGCAUGCAGGUGAUUCUUGG